rnacentral:rRNA from 1 species
AUUGAACGCCGGCGGCAGGCCUAACACAUGCAAGUCGAGCGGAUGAAGGGAGCUUGCUCCUGGAUUCAGCGGCGGACGGGUGAGUAAUGCCUAGGAAUCUGCCUGGUAGUGGGGGAUAACGUCCGGAAACGGGCGCCAAUACCGCAUACGUCCUGAGGGAGAAAGUGGGGGAUCUUCGGACCUCACGCUAUCAGAUGAGCCUAGGUCGGAUUAGCUAGUUGGUGGGGUAAAGGCCUACCAAGGCGACGAUCCGUAACUGGUCUGAGAGGAUGAUCAGUCACACUGGAACUGAGACACGGUCCAGACUCCUACGGGAGGCAGCAGUGGGGAAUAUUGGACAAUGGGCGAAAGCCUGAUCCAGCCAUGCCGCGUGUGUGAAGAAGGUCUUCGGAUUGUAAAGCACUUUAAGUUGGGAGGAAGGGCAGUAAGUUAAUACCUUGCUGUUUUGACGUUACCAACAGAAUAAGCACCGGCUAACUUCGUG